GCCCUACCACGCUCGGUCGCCCUGCGGCCGAUGCGGAACCUGGCCCUCCGAGCCGUCGCGUGCGGUGGGCCGAAGUGAGCGGCCGUCGUAUUGGGCCGGGAGCGAGUGGUGGGCAUCUGCGCACGCUGCCCGAACCCAAUGCCGGCAGAGGGCCUUGGCCGACCCCCCAACGAGGAGCCGCAUCUCAGCUUCCCGCUGCGAGGUUCCUUCGGACC
rnacentral:misc_RNA from 1 species